rnacentral:rRNA from 1 species
GUCUUUUUGAAAUAAUUUAAAGUCUAAUCUGCCCACUGAUAAAAAAUUAAAGGGCUGCAGUAUAAUGACUGUACAAAGGUAGCAUAAUCAAUAGUUUUUUAAUUGAAAACUUGUAUGAAAGAUUUGAUGAAAUAUGGACUGUCUCUAAUUUAUAAAUUGAAUUUUAUUUUUUAGUAAAAAAGCUAAAAUAAAUUUAAAAGACGAGAAGACCCUAUAGAGUUUUAUAUUUAAUUUUAUUUUAAAAUUAUAUAAAAAUUAAUAUUAAAAAUAAAAUUAAAUAUUAUAUUGGGGCGAUAGAAAAAUUAAAUUAACUUUUUUUAAAAAUUAAACAUAAAUAAAUGAUUAUAUGAUCCAUAGAUAAUGAUUAUAAGAAAAAAUUACCUUAGGGAUAACAGCGUAAUAUUUUUUUUUAGUUCAAAUAAAAAAAAAAGUUUGCGACCUCGAUGUUGGAUUAAGAUAAAAUUUAAAUGCAAAAGUUUAAAAUUUUGAUCUGUUCGAUCAUUAAAAUCUUACA